rnacentral:rRNA from 1 species
CGUGUACUCGGAGGACAUUACAGAGUUCAUGCCCGAAAGGGUAGACCUCCCACCCUUGUGUAUUAUUACUUUGUUGCUUUGGCGAGCUGCCUUCGGGCCUUGUAUGCUCGCCAGAGAAUACCAAAACUCUUUUUAUUAAUGUCGUCUGAGUACUAUAUAAUAGUUAAAACUUUCAACAACGGAUCUCUUGGUUCUGGCAUCGAUGAAGAACGCAGCGAAAUGCGAUAAGUAAUGUGAAUUGCAGAAUUCAGUGAAUCAUCGAAUCUUUGAACGCACAUUGCGCCCCUUGGUAUUCCGGGGGGCAUGCCUGUUCGAGCGUCAUUUCAACCCUCAAGCUUAGCUUGGUAUUGAGUCUAUGUCAGUAAUGGCAGGCUCUAAAAUCAGUGGCGGCGCCGCUGGGUCCUGAACGUAGUAAUAUCUCUCGUUACAGGUUCUCGGUGUGCUUCUGCCAAAACCCAAAUUUUUCUAUGGUUGACCUCGGAUCAGGUAGGGAUACCCGCUGAACUUAAGCAUAUAUAAAACGGGGAAGA